rnacentral:rRNA from 2 species
AGACCCGAAACCCGGUGAUCUAGCCAUGGGCAGGUUGAAGGUUGGGUAACACUAACUGGAGGACCGAACCGACUAAUGUUGAAAAAUUAGCGGAUGACCUGUGGCUGGGGGUGAAAGGCCAAUCAAACCGGGAGAUAGCUGGUUCUCCCCGAAAGCUAUUUAGGUAGCGCCUCGUGAAUUCAUCUCCGGGGGUAGAGCACUGUUUCGGCUAGGGGGCCAUCCCGGCUUACCAACCCGAUGCAAACUGCGAAUACCGGAGAAUGUUAUCACGGGAGACACACGGCGGGUGCUAACGUCCGUCGUGAAGAGGGAAACAACCCAGACCGCCAGCUAAGGUCCCAAAGUCAUGGUUAAGUGGGAAACGAUGUGGGAAGGCCCAGACAGCCAGGAUGUUGGCUUAGAAGCAGCCAUCAUUUAAAGAAAGCGUAAUAGCUCACUGGUCGAGUCGGCCUGCGCGGAAGAUGUAACGGGGCUAAACCAUGCACCGAAGCUGCGGCAGCGAACGUAUCACCCAAGACAACUUUACGGAGUUGACGAUUGACGGAGCGAAGCGACGUCAAAGCGUUCAUUAAAGUCGAGUUGGCUUAGGGAUACGUUCGUUGGGUAGGGGAGCGUUCUGUAAGCCUGUGAAGGUGUGUCGUGAGGCAUGCUGGAGGUAUCAGAAGUGCGAAUGCUGACAUAAGUAACGAUAAAGCGGGUGAAAAGCCCGCUCGCC